rnacentral:rRNA from 1 species
UACGUAGGUGGCAAGCGUUGUCCGGAUUUACUGGGCGUAAAGGGCGUGCAGGCGGUCUGUUAAGUGCAGGGUGAAAGCUCCCGGCUCAACUGGGAGAGGUCCUUGCAUACUGGCGGACUUGAGGGGGGUAGAGGAAAGUGGAAUUCCCGGUGUAGUGGUGAUAUGCGUAGAUAUCGGGAGGAACACCUGUGGCGAAGGCGGCUUUCUGGGCCCUACCUGACGCGUGAGACGCGAAAGCGUGGGGAGCGAACGAGG